rnacentral:rRNA from 1 species
GGCUGAAAUUCGCCUUCAUGAAGUCGGAAUUGCUAGUAAUGGCAGGUCAGCAUACUGCCGUGAAUACGUUUCCGGGCCCUUGUACACACCGCCCGUCACACCAUGAGAGUUGGAGAUACCCGAAGCCUGUGAGCUAACUUUUAGAGGCAGCAGUCGAAGGUAGAAUCAAUGAUUGGGGUGAAGUCGUAACAAGGUACC